rnacentral:misc_RNA from 1 species
GACACACUUGCGACACAAACCACGGCGUAAUCGAAAAAUGAAUGAUCUCCCGCGAUACAGGAAUCAACAUUCCCAGUGCGGGGAUCAAUAGACACGUAUGUGUGUAUACACAUAUUUGUGCGUUAAAUUUGUAAAAAUAAUAAAGUUUUCUGUAUUAUGUAUUUGUUUUGUGAAUAGAAUUCUUUCUUUCUUUCUUUCUUUCUUUCUUUCUUUCUUUCUUGCAUUCUUUCUGUAUGUCUGUAUGUUUGUUCCGGGUCAUCUCCGGAACGGAUGGUGAGCAUAUCGAAUGUAAUUUUUGUUUUUCGUAUGCAAAAUCGAAAGAAGUUUUAUUAGACUUACUCAGCCUUACGAAGCGUCGGACAGCCGACUUGUCUCCAUUUAAACUAUCGAAGGAUUUAUUCAGAGGGCAAAGUUAACAUAUUGAUUGAUCGCUUGGUUGCUUGCUUGUUUUAGUCUCAGUCUGUUUAGUCUGUCAGUUCGGUCGUGCAGCAAAAUCAAUAUACCAGUCUGCUCUGGGACUGAUAUUAAGGGGGGAGGGGAGAAUCUCGUCGUCGUCGUCGUCAUCUCUAUCGCAAAUUAUCGCGCGGCAACUCGCCGCGGUGACCGCCAGAUCGGUUUUCACAUAACUUCAUGUGUACGCGUAUCCGUGAGUGGUGUGCGCGCGUCUCGGUGUCCACGCCGUGGUGCGCGACGACCGGCUACCCGAUGACACGUACACGCGCGCGCCGCGGCGCGUCGCUUCACGAGAAAGGUAGGAUGAUGUGUAGUAGUUGUGAGUGGUGUGUGUGUGUGUGUGUGUAGUAAUAAGCAAUGUGUAAUGUGUGUAAUAUAUAUAUAUAUAUAUAUGUAUACAUAUAUUACUUUGCGCGCGCAUAUUCAUCCACACAUUAUUAUUAUUAUUGAGUUGUGUUGGACGUCGAGAUCUCAUGUGUGUGUAUCACAGUCACAGUGUGGUGUGGUGUUCGCGCGGAGCUCGAGUAUCGUUCAUUAAAAUGUUUCGCGUUCUCGUGAAACGUUCUCGCGCGCGCCCUUUAGCGCCUGAGUUACUAUAUCACGAAUGUUGUUUAUAUGAUGUUACAUGUGGUCUGUAAAAUGAUUCACGAAUCACCGGGCGUCUCCGCUGUGCGUUUGACGGACUCGAACAGAUGAUAAAUAAUAGAAAAGGGUGGUCCCGGGCGCCGAGCGCGCGGUUCCCCGUUUUUGAGUGAUGUUUUCUUCUCUCUCGGUCCUCUCGAACGUUUAUUGAAACGAUCAUUUCGUUUUGAACAUUCUCGCUGUCGCGUUUCGUUCAUGCAGUGAGAUUUAUCGUCUUUAGCGCCGAUUGGGAAUGAGAUUUUUUACGACAUGAUAAAAUGUUGUUUUUUUUGUCCCUUAUCGUUUCGAUAUAUGAAAGCGUACGCGAUAAAAUAGGGUUAAGCUAGGAAGGCUUAUUUAUAAUAAUCCUUAGC